UUCCAGAAGGAGGAGAUUUGUGUGAAAAGGCAUCCAAUCUAAACUUUUGUUUAUCCAAAGCAGAUCCAGAGAAUUGGUUCUUGGUUUGACACUCCAAAGAUUCGAUAUGGACCUUAAGACGUUAAUACUAUAAGACGUAUAUUGUUUAAAUUAUUUUUUCUGAAUUGAAUAAAACCUGUAAAAAGGUAUGAAAAAA
rnacentral:lncRNA from 1 species